AAAGAUAAAAGUGCUUUUAAAGAAGGUAUGACAAAGGAAAAUCAAUCAAGAAAUAAGCAUUGAUUACUAAGGAAACAGUAUUAUGUUUGGCAUUACUGUAGCUUUGGUAAUAUGCAAUGAGGUGAUUUCAAUCAAUUAAGUGAUAAGAACAAAAAUCAGACUGCAAGGGGCUUAUGGAUGGUCAGAAAAUGUGAUGUACACGUGUGUUGUAUGCAAUAUUUUUAUAUAGGUUACCAUGUUAAUGUGUUGCAAUUGUAAAGCUUGAACACUUGCAAGUAAGCUCAAAUUGAAUGAACAUAGAAUUCCUUUGUACAGUAUGACAAGCAGCCUCUGAGAAGGUCCCCAGUUAACCUCCCUUCCUAUUUAUUCAUGCCUUGGUUCAGUCUCCUCCCCUUCGGUGUGGGUUGAAACUGGUUACUUACAAUUCAAGUGAUAACAUACUGUCAAUAUAUGCUUACAAAAAGAUUGUGACUUUUGUCUGGAACACACAUCUUCUCUCUGUCUCACUUUCACUCUGUGGGAAGACAGAUACCAUGUUGUGAGCUGCAUUCUGGUGAAGCUUGUGUCAAAAGAUUGAGGGAGGCUUUCAACCAAGAGCAGGUGAGGAAAUGAGGCUCCAGGCCAACCACCCAUGAGGGACUGAAUCAUGCCAACAGCCUGUUGAGUGACCUUGGAAGUGGAUCCUAUCUCAGUUGAACCUUAGAAUGAGACUGCUACCAGGCUGACACUUUGUGAGAAAACGCGAGCCAGAAAGCCCAGCAAAGCCGUGCCCAGAUACCAAACCCACAGGAAGUGGAAUACAAUGGUUCUAUGAUUGGUCAACUACUUUGGAUUACAGAAAAUGUAAAGUAUAAACAUCCCACGAAUACUGUAUUUUCCAGCCAUCCAUUGGUGGUGGAUACAGGAUGCACAGGUAUGGAUUGUAUUUACUGAAAAAAAUUGCCAUAUAAGUAAACCAGCACAGUUCAAGCCUACAUUGCUCCAGAAUCAACUGUACACACAUAAAAAAGGUGCAUGCAAUUUCAAAGAUUUCACAGAAUUCUUGAGAAUCAUGCAUGGAUCCUGAACCUCCAGCUACUUUAAUUUUUUUAUUAUCAUUUUUAAAUUGAAAAAAGAUAUUUUUAAAAAUUAUCAAAACUAGCUCUGAAGUAGAUGUAUUAUCUUCUGUCUUUUAGAAUGUCUACACGUAUGUAGAAAAAAAAAUUCCAGUAAUGAUGAAUAACCACUGGAUAGUAGUUAUAGAAUAGACAUAUAUAUGUCUAUAUAUUUUUAUCAGUAAUAGCAAACAACUAAUUCUUCCACUGACCUGCCAGAAAUGUGACCUUUUGAAAGGAGAUUCUGUAACUUACUUUGAACUUACAUUUUAAUUCCCAUUUAUUGUGACUCUUCAUUCUCUCCAUUACGAAAUACAAAUAUCCUCCUACUGAGACUCAGUUUAGUUUUACCUUUAGAGCAAAUUAAUAUAGAAAUUAGACUGAUUUGCAUACAUUAAGGUGCAAAGCAAAGAGAUUCAACCUUUAAUAUUAAAAUUUACUUUGUGGUGAUUUGAAAACAAUUGAACUAUGUUCUCCUCCGCAGGCUUAAGUGGAAUUGCCUUGUAAUUGAAUAAAUUCUAUAUGCUCUAUUACAUCACCUAAGUGUUAUCUCCUUUGGCUUUUUUUCUUCCCUCACCUUUGCAUUAGCUAGUUUCAUUCCCUCUACCAUAGCCCGUUUUAUAAGUCUUAUCUUUUUUUUUCUUCUUUUUUUUUUGAGACGGAGUCUCGCUCUGUCGCC
rnacentral:lncRNA from 10 species